rnacentral:rRNA from 1 species
GUCCACGCCCUAAACUAUGUCAACUAGUUGUCGGGUCUUAAUAGGCUUGGUAACGUAGCUAACGCGUGAAGUUGACCGCCUGGGGAGUACGGUCGCAAGAUUAAAACUCAAAGGAAUUGACGGGGACCCGCACAAGCGGUGGAUUAUGUGGAUUAAUUCGAUGCAACGCGAAAACCUUACCUACCCUUGACAUGUCAGAAAGUUUUCAGAGAUGAAUUCGUGUCCGAAAGGAAAUUUGAACACAGGUGCUGCAUGGCUGUCGU